GCAGAGGAGUGACACGGCCGGGCCGGGGGAACCGACCCCCACACACGCGACAGAACAUCCUCCGCCUAGUGAUGUAGUUGUCCUGUGAGUCCACCUGCACCAGCAAGAAUUGGCCCGCAGGAUCUUGGUUCAGCCCUAUUCAGGCCUCAUCCCAAUGAGGCUGCCCCCAAAGCAGUGCAUCAGGCUGUUCUCCUGGCUGCUCCUCCUUCUCUCCACUAAGACCACUGCGAAGUGUACAAGAAGGUCUCUG